GGCUUACACAUGCAAGUCGAGGGGUAACAUUGGAGCUUGCUUCAGAUGACGACCGGCGCACGGGUGCGUAACGCGUAUAGAACCUACCUUUUACAAAGGGAUAGCCUUUAGAAAUGAAGAUUAAUACCUUAUAGUAUUUUAGAUUAGCAUUAAUUUAAAAUUAAAGAUUUAUCGGUAAAAGAUGGCUAUGCGUUCUAUUAGCUAGAUGGAGUGGUAACGGCACCCCAUGGCUACGAUAGAUAGGGGCCCUGAGAGGGGGAUCCCCCACACUGGUACUGAGACACGGACCAGACUCCUACGGGAGGCAGCAGUGAGGAAUAUUGGACAAUGGAGGCAACUCUGAUCCAGCCAUGCCGCGUGCAGGAUGACUGCCCUAUGGGUUGUAAACUGCUUUUAUACAGGAAGAAACACUCCCUCGUGAGGGAGCUUGACGGUACUGUAAGAAUAAGGAUCGGCUAACUCCGUGCCAGCAGCCGCGGUAAUACGGAGGAUCCAAGCGUUAUCCGGAAUCAUUGGGUUUAAAGGGUCCGUAGGUGGAUAAUUAAGUCAGAGGUGAAAUCCUGCAGCUCAACUGUAGAAUUGCCUUUGAUACUGGUUAUCUUGAAUCAUUAUGAAGUAGUUAGAAUAUGUAGUGUAGCGGUGAAAUGCAUAGAUAUUACAUAGAAUACCAAUUGCGAAGGCAGAUUACUAAUAAUGUAUUGACACUGAUGGACGAAAGCGUGGGGAGCGAACAGGAUUAGAUACCCUGGUAGUCCACGCCGUAAACGAUGGUUACUAGCUGUUCGGUUUUCGGACUGAGUGGCUAAGCGAAAGUGAUAAGUAACCCACCUGGGGAGUACGUUCGCAAGAAUGAAACUCAAAGGAAUUGACGGGGGCCCGCACAAGCGGUGGAGCAUGUGG
rnacentral:rRNA from 1 species